UACGUAGGGUGCGAGCGUUGUCCGGAAUUAUUGGGCGUAAAGGGCUCGUAGGCGGUUUGUCGCGUCUGCUGUGAAAGUCCGGGGCUCAACUCCGGAUCUGCGGUGGGUACGGGCAGACUAGAGUGAUGUAGGGGAGACUGGAAUUCCUGGUGUAGCGGUGAAAUGCGCAGAUAUCAGGAGGAACACCGAUGGCGAAGGCAGGUCUCUGGGCAUUAACUGACGCUGAGGAGCGAAAGCAUGGGGAGCGAACAGG
rnacentral:rRNA from 1 species